AUUGAACGCUGGGGGCAGGCCUAACACAUGCAAGUCGAGCGGAUGAAGGGAGCUUACUCCUGGAUUCAGCGGCGGACGGGUGAGUAAUGCCUAGGAAUCUGCCUGGUAGUGGGGGAUAACGUCCGGAAACGGGCGCUAAUACCGCAUACGUCCUGAGGGAGAAAGUGGGGGAUCUUCGGACCUCACGCUAUCAGAUGAGCCUAGGUCGGAUUAGCUAGUUGGUGGGGUAAAGGCCUACCAAGGCGACGAUCCGUAACUGGUCUGAGAGGAUGAUCAGUCACACUGGAACUGAGACACGGUCCAGACUCCUACGGGAGGCAGCAGUGGGGAAUAUUGGACAAUGGGCGAAAGCCUGAUCCAGCCAUGCCGCGUGUGUGAAGAAGGUCUUCGGAUUGUAAAGCACUUUAAGUUGGGAGGAAGGGCAGUAAGUUAAUACCUUGCUGUUUUGACGUUACCAACAGAAUAAGCACCGGCUAACUUCGUG
rnacentral:rRNA from 1 species